rnacentral:rRNA from 1 species
CCGGUGAGCUACGGCUCGCCGGGGUUGAGGACUGCAUUUAGUCUCAAUGGUCUAUCCGAACUACCUGGAAAGGUAGGCAAUACAGUGUAAAAGCCACGUAGGUUAAAGACCGGAGAGAUGAGCAGUAUCCAGAGUACCACGAGGCACGAGGAAUCUUGUGGGAAGCCGGGGGGACCACCCUCCAACCCUAAACACUGAAUGGCGACCGAUAGCGCAUAGUACCGUGAGGGAAAGGUGAAAAGAACCCCGGGAGGGGAGUGAAAGAGAACCUGAAACCGUAUGUCUACAAGCAGUCGGAGCGAAAGCGACGGCGUGCCUAUUGAAGAAUGAACCAACGAGUUACGUGCACUAGCGAGGUUAAGUGGAAGACACGGAGCCGAAGCGAAAGCGAGUCUUAAGAGGGCGGAUAGUUAGUGUACGUAGACCCGAAACCGCAGUGAUCUACCCAUGUCCAGGUUGAAGCGCAGGUAAAAUUGCGUGGAGGACCGAACCUGUGAGCGUUGAAAAGCUUUAGGAUGAGAUGUGGGUAGAGGUGAAAUUCCAAUCGAACGCGGAGAUAGCUGGUUCUCCCCGAAAUAGCUUUAGGGCUAGCCUCAAGUAGUAAGUAUAGGCGGUAGAGCACUGAUCGGGCUAGGGGCCAUAAAGGUUACCGAACCCUGUCAAACUCCGAAUGGUUAUACUGUAGAGCUUGGGAGUCAGACUACGAGUGAUAAGAUCCGUGGUCAAAAGGGAAACAGCCCAGACCACCAGCUAAGGUCCCCAAUGUCGUACUAAGUGGAAAAGGAUGUGGGGUCUCUAAAACAACCAGGAUGUUGGCUUAGAAGCAGCCACCAUUUAAAGAGUGCGUAAUAGCUCACUGGUCGAGAGACCCUGCGCCGAAGAUUACCGGGGCUAAAGUACGAAACCGAAGCUGUGGCUACGACAUAUGUCGUGGGGUAGGGGAGCGUUCUGUGAGGGCUGAAGUCGUUCUGUAAGGAACGGUGGACUUCACAGAAGUGAGAAUGUUGGUAUGAGUAGCGAAAAGAAUGGUGAGAAUCCAUUCCACCGAAAGCAUAAGGAUUCCUGGGCAACGAUCGUCGUCCCAGGGUAAGUCGGGACCUAAUCCGAGGCAUGGAGCGUAGGAGAUGGACAACUGGCAGAUAUUCCAGUACCGGUAAUGAUUGUUUGAGCGAUGGAGUGACACAGGAGGGCAGGCAGGCAGGAGAUUGGUUGUUCCUGUACAAGCGUGUAGGAUGGGACGCAGGCAAAUCCGCGUCCUGUGAGUCUGAGGCGUGAUGUGGAGGUUCCGGAAACGGAACUGAAGCUGCUGACCCCACACUGUCGAGAAAAGCUUCUAGUUAGAGAAUUACCGCCCGUACCGUAAACCGACACAGGUAUGCGGGGAGAGAAUCCUAAGGUGCGCGGGAGAACCCUCGUUAAGGAACUCGGCAAAAUGUACCCGUAACUUCGGGAUAAGGGUAGCCGCUGUUGUGAAGUCUGAACAGACGGAGCAUGAGGCGGUCGCAGAGAAGAGGCCCAAGCGACUGUUUACCACAAACACAGGUGCCUGCUAAAGAGAAAUCUGACGUAUAGGUGCUGACACCUGCCCAGUGCCGGAAGGUUAAGGAAGGAUGUCCGGAGCAAUCCAAAGCAUUCGACCGAAGCCCCGGUGAACGGCGGCCGUAACUAUAACGGUCCUAAGGUAGCGAAAUUCCUUGUCGGGUAAGUUCCGACCCGCACGAAAGGUGUAACGAUUUGGGCACUGUCUCAACGAGGGACCCGGUGAAAUUGAAGUACCUGUGAAGAUGCAGGUUACCCGCGACUGGACAGAAAGACCCCAUGGAGCUUUACUGUAACCUGACAUUGGGUUCUGAUACAUCACGUACAGGAUAGGUGGGAGGCAUGGAAGCGAGGACGCUAGUCUUCGUGGAGCCGCCGUUGGGAUACCACCCUUGAUGUAUCGGAAUUCUAACCGUAGGAGUAACGAAACUCGGGACAGUGUCAGGCGGGCAGUUUGACUGGGGCGGUCGCCUCCCAAAGAGUAACGGAGGCGCCCAAAGGUUCCCUCAGCGCGGCCGGAAAUCGCGCGAAGAGUGUAAAGGCAGAAGGGAGCUUGACUGAGAGCCAAACACGGCGAUCAGGUACGAAAGUAGGGCUUAGUGAUCCGGUGGCAUCCA